GGGCUUUCCACAGCACGGGGCGACCACCAACCGAGCUAACUACUAGGUGGAUUUGUCCACGCGAGCACAGAGUUUACCUCCUCUGAAUUGUUCCUCUGGCGGCUAAUAAGUAAUAAGGUCCAACUCCAUCAUACUUGAACUUUCAACGUGUUCCUGUAGCUGUUACCAACUUACCAUCUAUGAUCUACUGUAUCUGAGUUCAUGAACGUCGACCUGCCAU
rnacentral:lncRNA from 1 species